UUUUUCGUAUUUGGUCGGUUCAAUCGUUACGUCAACAGGGGUGCCGCUAUCGCGGUUAUCGCUUCGGCUGUCAUUCUUUUUGCUCCUGGCGUUCUCUGCACGCGUGCGCGCCUUUGACGUCUACUGCGCGCUGCAAGGUUUUCUUUCUGUAUCGGCCAGUGGUUCCAGCAAAAUAAGGAAAACAAAAGAAAGGCCACACGAGGCGUUCUGCGCGACUCUUACGUUGGCCCAAUGCGGGGAGGGACACCAGGGCCAUAUUUUUUUUUUCUUUUCGCGUCCAGGAAAAUGAAAGUCCACAGCCCCAGCACGGACAGCUCCACCUCCCCUGAAUCUGUCUCGUCUGGGUGUGCGGACUGUGCGGUCUUCCAACUGGUCUUGCUUGCUGAUAAUUCUUUCCAUAAGUAAUCGCAAAUAACUGUUGCGACCAGCGAUUUGCUUUUGCAACACUGUUACAUGCAGAGCAAAAGAAAAUGAGUUGCUAUUCAGAAAUUGUAAGACGCUUUUUUAUGCAUUGAUGCGCUUACACAAUGUGCAGUUUGUACGACAGAUACGAGAUGCUCAGCUCUGUAAUAUUGUUUUCUGUAUAGUGUCUCUUGCUGUGCGAAAUUUCCUAAUCAAAAUGCAAAAUAAAGCACAUUUCACUGCUUA